rnacentral:rRNA from 1 species
GAUGAACGCUGGCGGCGUGCCUAAUACAUGCCAGUCGAGCGAACAGACAAGGAGCUUGCUCCUCUGACGUUAGCGGCGGACGGGUGAGUAACACGUGGAUAACCUACCUAUAAGACUGGGAUAACUUCGGGAAACCGGAGCUAAUACCGGAUAAUAUAUUGAACCGCAUGGUUCAAUAGUGAAAGACGGUUUUGCUGUCACUUAUAGAUGGAUCCGCGCCGCAUUAGCUAGUUGGUAAGGUAACGGCUUACCAAGGCGACGAUGCGUAGCCGACCUGAGAGGGUGAUCGGCCACACUGGAACUGAGACACGGUCCAGACUCCUACGGGAGGCAGCAGUAGGGAAUCUUCCGCAAUGGGCGAAAGCCUGACGGAGCAACGCCGCGUGAGUGAUGAAGGUCUUCGGAUCGUAAAACUCUGUUAUUAGGGAAGAACAAAUGUGUAAGUAACUAUGCACGUCUUGACGGUACCUAAUCAGAAAGCCACGGCUAACUACGUG